UUUCUUUUUCCAAAUUUAAAUAAAUAACCUUCUUUUUUUCUAAAUUUGAAAUAAUGACCCCUUUUUUUUGUGUGCUGGUGGUGUUACCACAGGUUUGUGUAUGCGUCUAGUGUGGUUGGGAGUCAAAGACUCUUAAACUGCCGCUGGAUAGCUUAUAUUCAUAGGUGAAAAGAAAGCUGAGUGCGCAAGUCUUUCCUUCCAGUAUAUAGCCUCUACACUAACAAGACUUCUACAGUGCCUCCCCGUGACAGCACACGGUAACUAGGAUCUAGUGUCCUAGGCUUGACUGUAGAGGAUCUCGGAGUAGCAAGGACCCUAGAGAUGAAGUGUGUAGGCCGAUCGACAUGCGGACAUCCCUAGCACUCAUCACCCUUGCCCCAGUUAUGGGUCAAAUAGCCGGCUGUAUGAUGGUCAUCAGCCUUGAAAGGAUGUCUAGGAGAAGAAAACUCUUGAUAUAAAUUUUUUGGUAGAUUUGACUUGUCAGCCUUGGUCUGCAAUUGAUUUAAAGGAAACAAAGCUUGAGUAAAGAUUCUCUGGUUCUCCAGGUUUGGGAUUGAGAAAUAUGUCAACAACCUAUCCUUGUAAAAAGGAAGAAUGAUUAUAUACUGAUUAAUCUCACAGAUGAGGAACAUCACAACUGGGUCUGCAUGCUUAGCUUUGACAUUCAAAAGACAAGUUAUCCUGGAUAUUUUGAAAACACGUAAACGAUUUACUGAAGGAAAAUCGAAGGAAAGUAGGACCUGAAUGUAAAAUAAUACCAACUUGAAGACAAAGUGUGCUUGUUAAUUUAGAAAUCAACUGAAGCAAAAGAAGAAUGGAUUCUGAUGAUCUGAGGAACUUGGAAACACUUAUUGACAAAAAAAUAUGUAGUAUAAUACAAUUAUGUUAAAAGAGAGAGAUAGAAAAAGGGUGAGAGCCAGUUGUAAAGAUUUAUUCUUUUAAACCAGAUAUGUUGAUUACAUUCGAAUUUCAUAGGCCUACAGUUCCCCCCUAUAUGGUCUUAGUUAAUACAUGUACUAGGUGUUUAAUGUAAGACUUUGAUGUGACGUUUGAGAACAAUCAGCUGCCAUGGGUUUACGUCUAUUUUUAUGCCCUUUCAGGUGGGGGGGGGG